rnacentral:lncRNA from 1 species
AUGGAAAACUGUCAACUCACAAAGUCCAUUCUGAAUUGCAUUUCUUCAAAGUCCCCCCUUAAGUCAGUUGAACCCAAUAAUCCCCUAGAGUGUCAGCCAGAGGUUUUUUGCAGAGGAGAGGAGGCUGACAAAGAUGUGUCCAAGGACAGCCCUAUUUUAUCGGAGAAUGACAAUGUGAGGAGAAACCAACAAACAGAGGAGGACCAAGACAAGAUGGACGAAGAGAAAACUGCAAUGAAAAAGGAGGAAAUCAGUCAGAGAAGCAUUGAACAUGUUCAGGAGGCUGCUUCCUCUCCUCAGUUCUGCUCCAAACACCAGCGAUGGGUGAAUAGCAUCCUGCAACAGUGUCCUGAUGAGUGUUCAGAAGAGCUGCUGCUUCAGACUACUGUUUCUUCAUCUCCCCCAUUGUUCCAGUCAUCCUCUUCUACCUCUACAUCACAGGACCUCACCCCCUCUGACCUCAUAUCUUGCCCCCCUGAUCAACAGCAUGCAGCCCAGGCAUGUGAACAGGCAAACCCUGGAGAUAAGCUGACCUCUGGAUCACCUGGAUCAGCAAUGGAGACCUCUCGAAGGGAACCACUACCUCAGCCCUCUUCAUCCAGAGACACUCUGCUGCCUGCCCUUUUGUCGCCUGUAGUCCAAUUGAUAGACAUUGCCUCUGUCAGAGGGAUUAACCUUACCUUUAAACUCCAUAAAGCAACUCCAAAUCAGUUCACCAUGUCCAGUAACAAACAGGCAUUUUCUGCUACCUCUUUAGACCGCUUUACCUCCAGAAACGAUGCCAUACUUCAGGGAACGACAAAAUACUCUACGUUUAACCAGCCAGAAACUGUGGCCAAAACAGUUCUCCCAGAAACACCACAAGUGCAGACAGCUCCCGUAUCUCAGGAUGCAUCUACCUCUACCAGAUGUCAACCACCAACUGUAAAGUCCUUUUCUCGACAAGUUGUGCCUGAGAGCUCAGUCAAACAUCAUCCUCAGACACUCAACACAACUUAUUUUAAAAAGACCCCACUAUGCUCCACUGCUGUUUCCACUACCUCCAACUCUGAUAGCAUGGCUGUUAGGUCAGACACCAGCAGAGUCCAAAGAGCCCAGCCAAGGUUAUCACUAAGGAGUCAUGUUAUGUUACUGCAGUCCAAGCUACUUCAGCCUUAUGUGAGUCUUAGCAGGCUGAGCAAUCAGAAGUGUCAUGAUUUGACCAUGGGGAGAUCCUCAUCCAAGUUUGUAGAGCCUAUUGCAAGAGGCAGCCCUGAUGAGGACAAGGAGAAGAGGAAGUUCAGUGAAGGAGAUGCAGAUUCUUCUUUUGAUCCAAACACUCUUUACUCAAGUUAUUCUUCAAAUGGUGACAGCGAGGACUCGCUUAGUGACCCCGACUAUAAACCUUGCAUUAAAAAGAAAAUACUUUGCUAA